rnacentral:rRNA from 1 species
AUGUUCGUAUGCGACUCUUGCACACCAAAGUAUUUUUAUUCAGGCACAAGACUUCUGUUUAUACAUUGCACUCAGGAUUCAAUUCAUACUUGUGAUAAUUUGAAGCUACCAGGUAGUAAAUGUUGUGGUUUACACCGUCGAUGCAUAGCUUAUGCUUAUACAAGUAAUCAUAUACAAACUUACCUUCAUCAGCAUCCUGCACAUAAAGUUGUCCAGGAUAAAUUAGUUAUCUUUGUUUCUUGUUCUCUCAUCCUUGAAUUUGAUCAUCCAGUUGUUGCCAUAACAAAAAACAAUAUUUUACUUAGAUUAUUCAAAGUACAUUUUCCCCUCUAA